UUGGGAAAUCUGAAUGCAUGAAUCAGAGCGAUGCCCGGUCCGGUGACGGGAUAGGGGCAAGAGGGUGGAUGGAGAUUGCCUUGGGCACGGGUAUAGGGGGCAACAGGGACCCCCACACCCCACGUUAGGAGAGGGUACUGCCCACAUGGGAAUGCUUUAGAAGUGGGGCUGUAUUUGGGACAGGGUGCCAUAACGGUGGGCGGGUGAAGAGAGCCAGCAUGACAUUGGCUAUAGGAAGAAAAGCACUUGUCUUCCCAAGGUUGGAUUUAGGGCCCCAAACUGCAAUUGGUCACCACUGUCACUGUGCUCAGCGGGGAUGGAAUUCCUGCCCUAUGGCAUCCCCUUUGGUCCCCUCGCCCUGACAGCUGGUCCCCAGCACCCAUGGGUGGGCCCGGGCAGAUCUGCUCUCCUGCAGCGCCUGUUGUAGAGGGACGGGUUGGCUGGAAAGGAGCUGGGAGAUGAACAUGGGCAAACCCCAGCGCUUCCUGAGUGCAAAGCCUUGCCAGGGGCUGCUAUAGCAACUCAGCAAUAGCUGAGCCCACCCCAAUUGGGCUGGCGAAUGGAAGCCUUCAGCGUAGGCACUUUGGUGUCAUUGCCUUCAGCGUGUGCUGCCCUUCUAAGGACAAGCAAGGGGCUGGGCUGCUAAGGCUCCAACUGGCGUAGGGAUGAGGGUGACUCCAGCCCAUGGCCCAUGAGUCUUCUCUGUCCUGUCCCUCUCAGCACUGAGGGCAAAAAAAACAAUAACGGCGCAGAGGCUGGAUUCAGUGCUGCUGACAGCAGGCGCUGAGCCACUGCUGGGGGAGUGGGACAGGAGGGGGCAGCCAGGCAGCCCCUGUGAAAUACUAGUUCUUGUGCCAAACCCCUUCCCAGCCCCUCUCCUCCUGCAGAGAUUCCCCUUCCCUCCUCUCCCUGCCGGUGUGCUUCCCUACUACUCCCCAGGGAGACUUUCCUCCCUGAAAAUCCUACUGCUGUUGACAUUAAACAUGAUAGCAGAGUUUCCUUGGAGACGAGAGAAACAGCGGGCUCCAAAAUGCUGAUUAUUUCACGGUUUCUGGCUGGCUUUCAGUGAUGAAAUAAAAAGAAAAGAGUUGUGAUAGCAGAGGGAGCCCAGGGCAGCCUGUGUUGAGCAGGGCACUGACUCUGCUUUUCCAGUGCCACCUCUUUACACAGGGUUUCCUGAGUGUGCCCCAAGCAGCAGUGCAGCAGCACGUGCCAUGUCAAACUGGCUGCUCUGCGACUGCGCUGCCCCUCUUCCCAGGCCCCUGGAGGCCAAAAAACUGGAGAGAAACUUUACUGUGGGCAGUUCUAAUUUGGCUGACUUCUGCCAGUCCCGGGAGUAAAAAUGGCUAAUUAGAUUCACCCUUCUGUAUUAUUGUACAUCAGCGUUAGUAGCAGGGGGACAACAAUAUGAGUAUCAACAUUUGGAUCUUUCUCUCCUGUCCAUUUGUCCCAAGUGGUGACAGUGAAGUUUGUCCCAAGAUGACAGAACUUCAGCUUUGCUUUUACCAUCCCCAAGCCAGUCACUAUGGCAGCAGUGCCCUGCAGUGCCACGUCCCAGUGGUGGUCAGAAGCUUGCUUGGCCUCGAGGAACAUCUCACAGAGGACCCACUAAACUGAUAGCACCCAUUCCUGCUGAGACAUCUCUGGGGUCCCCACUCAGUCAUUUCAAUGAAGCAGCAUUUUCUGGUUUAUGUUUCAGACUGGUGUAAGAGUGCUGAGCAGGGUUUAGAGGGUGAGAGAAGAGGAGUGAGGAACCAGGUCUAGUUCUGUGCCAAUUAUGCACAGAGACCUGCUCCAGGACACUGCUGGGGACAAUCCUGCUGAGCCUUGUCACACAGUGUGCCACCAUCCCUGGAGGAGCUCAAAGAAAGGGUAGAUGUGGCACGAGUGACAUGGUUUGGGGGGCAUGGUGAAGAUGGGCUGACACUCGGAUUAGAGGAUCUUAGAGUCAGUCCCAACCUGAAUGAUUCUGAGUCGGUGAUGAUGAGAUGGAGGGACCGCAGAAUGGCUGAGGUUGGCAUGGACCUCUGGAGAUCAUCUUGUGAGCAUCUCUGCUCAAAGCAGCAUCAACCAGAAGUGGUUUCUCAGGACCAUUGCUCAGGACACGUCCUGUCAGUUUUCAACGUCUCUAAGGACAGAGAUCGCACAACCUUUCUGGGCAGCCUGCUCAGUGCUGAACCACUCUUACAGUGAAAAAGUGUUGUCUUAUGCAUGAAUUCUUGUAUUUCAAUUUGUGUCCAUCACAUCUCUUCUGAUCACCGGGCACUUAUUAGGGUCUGGUCCAUCGAUGCACACCGUGCUGUUAGUUGCCUUGUUCCAUCUGCACAGGGAUCCUGAAUUCCAGCUCCCCACCUCUCCACCACAUCCCUGUGAGCCCAGCAAGAGUGCAGCCCUAUUGCUUUACAUGGAUCUCUACUUUCUACUCUUCAUCCUGCGGUGCUGUGCCCAUUCAUGCAGAGGCACUUCAGAGGAGUUCUCGUUUGUGCCGUUUUCCCCACAAAGUGUGAGUUAGUGCCUUUGUCCCUUGGUGCCACAUGCACACAUCUCUUCAGUACCUCCAGGGAGGAGGACUCCACCAUUUCCCUGUUCAGGCUGUUCCAACAACUGACCGCCUUCUCCAUUAAGUAAAUCUUCCUAAUGUCCACCCUAAACCUCCCCUGGUGCAACUUCAGGCUUUUUUCUCAUAUUCUUUCCCUUGUCAUCCAAUAAAAGACUGAUGCCCUCCUCGCUGCAACCUCCUCGCAGGUAUAAAAGUAUUUUAAGAAACCAGCCUUAGUGCUGAGCACUGAGAAAGGCUGCUGGUGGCCAACUGACAACUGGAUUGAACUUCAUUCACUGUGGCUCUUUGAGUCCAUCCAGUUCAAUGCACCCCAAAAUGUGGUUUGCCCCUGGCUGCCCGGGCAUACUAAGUUGAGCGUGCAUCACCAGCACCUCCAAACCCCUUUCUGCUGAGCUGCUCUCCAGUUACUUGUCUCCCAGACUGUACCCAUGUCUGGCAUUGCUCAUCCCAAGUGCAGAACCCAACCAUUUCCUUUGUUGAUCUUCAAGUCAUUGCUAAUCUCUCUGUGCUCCAAUAUACCCAAGGCUUCUUGUCCCUGCACCUCCCAGUUUAGUGCAAUGGAGAAAACUGCUUAGCGUGCACUUCUCUCCUGCUUCCAGAUAAUUGAUAGGAGUGGUGAAUGCAGAGCUGAGCCCUGGAGAACAUCUCUAUUGGUUGUCUGCCACCAGCUGUAACCCCAUGCACUAGGACCACUGGAGCUCUACCAGUGCUCCAGUUCAUCACCAAGCAUAGUGUGAACUGUCCAACUCACAGCUGGACAAUUUGUCCAGAAGGAUGCUGUGAGGGAUGGCACCAAAAGCCCUACUGAAACCCAGAAUGGUCGCAUCCAUCACCUUCCCUUCAUGCACCAUGACCUUACCCCAGAAGAUCAGAUCACUGAGGCAGGACCUUCGCUUGAUGAACCCAUGUUGACUAUUGGAUAGCAGCUUUGGUCUUUGAACAAAAUGAUAAAACGUCUUCCUUCCCCAUUUUUUACUUUCACCAUCUUCUGACUGCUGGCCUUAAAAUGGCCAACAUUCCACUGGUUAUGACAAACCUCAUUGCCAGGAACCAGGCAUUAGUUUUGCAACACUGGGCUUUCUUACAAAAUAUCCUGUGCUCCCUCAUCUAGCCUUGAAGUUACCUCCAGAGCUGCUCUCUUGAAUAUCUCAGUUCUGGCAGAGCAGAGGCUGAAGAAGCAGUCCUGAUUAGGAAAGCCUGCACCAAGAAAGCAAAGCUACCUUUUUCCUUCUGGGAAGGAAAAUCCAUGCCAUUGCAGACUGCUUGUCUGCAAGAAGUGUGUUUUGACAACUUAGCGCAGCAGCUGGAGAACUUCCAGCUGAUGCAAUAGAGAAUAUUUACACAAUUUCAGGCUGGCGAUGCAGUGGGAAUGUGCUGUAGAGAGGGCUGCUGGAUUGCAAAAUGUACAGAUGGAGAAAGGCAGCUAGACAGUGAGAGGGUGGGGACAUCACAGAGCGGGUCCUGAUGAGCUCUUCUGUGCCAUGAGCAUUGACAAGGCUGCUGAGCAUAUGGUGCAGCAUGGCAUCCUAGUGAUUCAUCCUGAACUUUCCUGCAUCAAAAUAGAGAUUUUGUUUUCUUUGCAUGAAAAUACUUCUUUCCUGGUACGUGUGGAUGGGGAGACAUCUGGAGAACAAAGCAGCCAGGGCAGGCAGAGCAGCGUGCAGGGGCCGACCAUGAGCGAGCAGAGCCACGUCAACAGCCUGUUCCUCAACGAGGACGCAGCCAAGCGGCUCCACGCCGAGGGCCGGGUGCAGCGCCUGCGGCAGGCCGUGCAGAAGCGGGCGGCGCGGGCCAAGAAGAGGAUGAGCAGCAUCACUGCUGACAGCGCCAAGAGCUUCUUCCGCAGAAACGCCUUUGUCCUCUUCACCAUCGCCGCGGUUUUGCUCGGGAUCAUCCUGGCCUUUUCCCUCAGGCCCUACCAGCUGACCUACCGCCAGAUCAAGUACUUCUCCUUCCCAGGAGAGCUGCUGAUGCGCAUGCUCCAGAUGCUGGUUCUUCCUCUCAUUGUCUCUAGCUUGAUUACAGGAAUGGCCUCUCUGGAUGGCAGAGCCUCAGGGAAGAUGGGCAUGCGGGCUGUGGUCUACUACAUGGUGACCACAAUCAUAGCAGUCUUCAUUGGCAUCCUCAUGGUGAUCAUCAUCCACCCAGGCAAAGGAUCUAAGGACAAGCUUCACCGAGAAGGCAGAAUUGAGCAGGUUCAGACCACAGAUGCCUUCAUGGACUUGGUGAGGAACAUGUUCCCACCCAACCUGGUAGAAGCCUGCUUCAAACAGUACAAGACGCAGUACAGCACCCGAGUCUUCACCAGGACCGUCCUUCACAGCAGCAAUCUCACAGCAAGCGUGGCACCCACUCAGCUCCCUGCGCCUGAGAACUCCACCGGCAUCCUGGAGAAUGUCACGCAGGCCCUGGGGACCAUCUCCGAGGUGCUGAGCUUUGAAGAAGUCAUUCCCAUCCCGGGCUCUGCCAAUGGGGUGAACGCGCUGGGGCUGGUAGUGUUCUCCAUGUGCUUCGGUUUGGUGAUCGGCAGCAUGAAGCAGAAGGGACGGGCCCUGCGGGAGUUCUUUAACUGCCUCAACGAAGCCAUCAUGAGGCUGGUGGCCAUUAUCAUCUGGUACGCCCCAGUUGGGAUCAUGUUUCUAAUUGCUGGCAAAAUCCUGGAGAUGGAUGACCUGGCGGUGAUGGGGGGCCAGCUGGGGAUGUACACCCUCACCGUCAUCGUCGGGCUCCUCAUUCACGCCCUCUGCAUCCUGCCGCUGCUCUACUUCAUCGUCACCCACAGGAACCCCUGGGUAUUCAUUGCAGGGCUUCUGCAGGCCCUCAUCACAGCCCUGGGCACCUCCUCAAGCUCAGCGACUCUGCCCAUCACCUUCAGGUGCCUGGAAGAAAACAACGGCGUGGACAGGCGCAUCACGAGGUUUGUUCUGCCCGUGGGAGCCACCAUUAACAUGGAUGGCACCGCUCUGUACGAGGCCCUCGCUGCCAUCUUCAUUGCACAAGUCAACAACUACGAACUCGACUUUGGGCAGAUCAUCACAAUAAGCAUCACUGCCACGGCAGCCAGCAUUGGUGCUGCAGGCAUUCCCCAGGCAGGGCUGGUGACCAUGGUCAUAGUGCUGACGUCGGUGGGGCUGCCAACUGAAGACAUUACGCUGAUCAUCGCUGUGGACUGGUUCCUAGACCGCCUUAGAACGACCACCAACGUCCUGGGGGACUCUCUGGGUGCUGGCAUUGUGGAGCAUCUCUCCCGGCAGGAGCUGGAUGCGCAGGAAUGCGAACUCGGUAAUUCUGGGAUAGAGGAGAAAGAGCAGCCCUGCCUGCAGGUCUGCACACACAGCAACAGCCUCAGGCACCCCAGCAGGGAGACAGCGCUGUGAAGUCAGGCAGCAUUACACACUCAUGCUGUAUAAAGCCAAGACUUGAAGCAGAAGUCUUGGGGGCCAGAGAGGAGGACAGAACACGACAGACUUUCCAACAUCUACACUGUUCUCCCCCACAUGCAGUCUCCCCUGAUCCCUUUUAUUCCCCAUCUCUUUCUGACUGACUUUAAAGAGGAGAAAAUUAAAUGGCAAAGAAACUUUUGUUCCAUGAAAGCCUGGUUUAAUCAUUCUUCCUGGAGUUCAAGAGCUAGACCUGAGUAAAUAAGGCGCAGUGGAUGAGCUGGACCAGGAGCUCUCUCUGUUAUGAGCUGAAGUCGAAGCAUAGUUAAUGGACAAGGUGGGCUGGUGACACCCUUCCUGCGGACUGGCACCAGGACAUUGGCACAAUAACUAUUGCUAAUCCUGCAGAUGCAGAGUAGCAAAGCCUUCACUUGGUCAGUGGCUUCCCUUCAAGAUUUUGGCAGCUUUGAGACCUCUGGUGGGCACCAGGGCUCCACUUCGACUCUUCAGUGGCCAGUGCUUGUGAAAAACCAGUGUUCUCCUUGUGUGCACUGCCAGCGUUGGCACAGUGACACCACCGAUGCCUCCUGAGGUCUCCUCACCCCUCUGGCAAUCCUUCUGGCUGUGGGUACUGAGGUCUUCUAUCUCUCAAAAGAAGAUGGGACCAAAGAAUAGGGACAGGGCUGUGCUGGUUGGCAGCACAGAGGUCGGAAUGGCUUUCCAUUCAUGGAAGCAGUGAAUUAUGAAAGUAGCAAACAAAUAAUGGAAGGGAUCCACUGUCCAGCCUUUGGACCAGUUCUCCUGUCAGCCAAGCUCUGCCGAACAGUUCACUUUGUUUCCUUCUAAAGAUCUCUUCUCUUAGUGAAAGCAGAAGGGGAAUUGCAAAGCUUAAGAGCAGUGCCUCCCCAAGCAGCUGGAGCUGCCUGCGUGCCAGGGCUGCUCUGUGCCAGCUGUUUCUCAGCUCAGAGGCAGGGACAAAAUCACAGAGCUGUCCUGUGCUCUUCUUGCAUUUAUCACCUUCAUCCAUGCUGCAGUGUCGCAGGGAGAAUGCUGCUGUCUUGGGCUUUUCUCACACUUAAAGUAUGCUUAAAUUGUGCUAUCAAAGCAGGUCGGACUGUGCCUGCAGCAUUUGCUGCUAAAACAAGAGAAAAGGGACGGUCUGUUUUUCACAGAUUUUUAUAAGCUUUGAUUUUGGAGUCCAAUUUUUGAGGCAAAACUGAGCCCUCCAGGCAGAAGGCUGGAACACGUGGUGUGCAGCACUGUUUGUUACUCUCCACAUUCAAGUAAAGGAUUGCAAAUGUUCUGAACAUCCGAGCAGCUCCUUGGGCAGCAAUUCUGGGAGUACAGCUGCAGACUAAACAGAGGCAGUUCUUUCAGUAUGCCCUCUCAGGUAAAAAUUACUCACAGUCCCAUCCUCUGGACUUUUCCCUCUCUGUUCCACACCUUUCUCCAAGUGGAUUGAGGACAGCUGGGCAGAACGAUCCAACUGAAGAUCUAUUAGCACAGAGGAAAGAACAUUUCAUGCACACUGAGAUAGAGACCUUGGCUUCAGCUUAGCACGGGUAACAGCACGCUGCUCAGGGGAACCGCUCACAGCUGCAACAAAUUCAGAUUAUUUGUCCAACUUCUCAAGAAAGCAUUGAAUUCUACUCCUGAAGAGACUUCUUGUAUAUAUAUAUAUAAAGGGCAAACCAAGGGAUGAAUUGGAAGACAAGGAGAGAUGGUUGGAUUGGACUCUAGCUCAAACGGAAUUAAUUCUGGGAAGCCCUACGGCGUGGGUUGUGCAGAGAGGCAGACGAGUUGAUCAUGAGUGUCCCUUCUGGCUUUGUAAUAUAUGCACAUGCUUUCUGGUUUAGAGGUACUGCAGAGGCUCUGCUGAUUGUUUCCAAAAGCUAUCAGAAAGGAUCCUUAUGGUAACUUCUCUGAACUCAGCAGGACUCUGACCUGUUUUCAGUUGCUGUUAGCAGAUGUAAGCCUGUCACAAAGGGCUCUCAUACUGCAUUGCAUUGGCAUCAUCUCACUUGUUCCCACCAGGCAGCAUGCCCCAAGCCUUGCCGUGUGAUUUCUUGCCUUCAACAAAAGAUUAACGAGCACAGAUGAGUAGAUGGCUCCUUUUCCAAUCUUGCAAGCCAGUUUGCUGUGGGGAGUUUCAGAAUAUUUUUUUGCUGUGGUGUCCACCCAUGUUGUGGACCAAUCUAUGAUCAGCAUCAUCCAUUUGUUUACAAUGCCCAAGCAGUAUGGUCAGGAAUUUGCUUAUAUAUGCACAAAUAUCUACAUGCAGGUGUGUGUGUGCCUGUGAAUGGGGUGCACACGUACAAACACACACACAAUCAUUCUGCUGCUGAUCCAAGGACAGGCAAUGCUGAACCCUCACUCUGUGAGGUUGCAUCCUUAAUUUUGACACCCAGUGUGAUUUGCAAAACUGCUCCCAUCUCUAAAACAACAGAAACUGUUUUACAUUACAGUAAUGAGUCUUCUAAAGCAAGGUUUAUUAGGAGGGAGCUAAUUGUGCUGACUGUGGGCUGUGGCUGCUCCCGGUGCGUACAUCCCAAGGUCUCGGGUCCCCACGCUGUGCAGCUUUGCAAGGAGGCAAGCUUUCAAGUGCUCAGCCAGGAAUACAGAAGUGUUUGUACUCCUUCCAAGCUCAAACUCUGACCUCGUACCAACUCAGCCUUCAGAACUGCGCAACUGAAAACAUGAAAUCAUUUUAUCAGCUGUCUUUUUAAGUCAUCAGCUAUUUGGGAACGCGUGCGGUCUUUUCUUUACUGCAGUACUGCUGCUUCUAGUUGCAGAAACACAGUGAGUUUCUUCUCGUGGCAAAUAAUUUAUCCCUGAUGAUUGGGUGGGCAAUGUUUGGGCUGAAACAGGGAGCUGCUCGAUGCACACAGCCACGAGGAGCUCUUGGAUCAGGACACAUCCCUUCAAAGGGAAUUUAGGAGAGCAAAGACAUGGAACAGAGGUUUUCACACAGCGGGCCGCGGAUCGCGCUCAGCACAUGGUAGCUGUGUUCCUUCAGGAGCCGGAUCUGCCCAUGGAAUCCGGAAUCACGAAAUCUUUUGCUCUCCGCAGGGGUGAAGGCGGGAACUGGAACUCACUGCUGCAGCGUCGUCGUCGCAUUCGGGCACUUUGUGUUAAUUCCCAAGGCCUUUCUUUCCAUGCUGUGAGUUUCAGUGUCAAUAAAGAUAGUUUGCAGAUUUGAAAAAUAAAGGGAAUCUUUUUCCACA